GAGUACGUUUACUGAACUUUUUUGCAGCAACCACUGCAACAACACCACUGCAUCUCAGUGGUGUUGACCUCCAAGACAACACAUGCAUUCAUUAAUGAACUCUUCUUCUCUUUACAUACAGAAUAACAGGUGACAGGAUUUUGUUUGGCUGAGGAUCAAAUCAACAAAAGUACAAGACCUGACAAUCGAGUAGGGUUUGAUUUCAGGUGCCAACGCCUCUCUCUGCAACCUGCCACGUACAGUGAUGUGAUAGGACAAGAAUAAAGCACUGUGUCAUCAAGAAAUCAUCUGAAGACAAAGACAAACACUGUCGACGGAAAAUGUUCGGAGGUCAAGAUGACACCAAACACCCCUCUGGCUACAACCUGGACCUGGACUCCCAUGGGGGUUUAGACAAGGACCAGAGGCCUGGAGGCAGCUGUGAUAGAGGGGGUCGCCAUGAAAACAUAGAUUAUGGUGGAGACCGCCAUGGAGAUGAUGACAAGGACCGCCACGAAGGAGAUCGACAUGGAGACAAGCACCAUAGUGGAGACCGCCAUGGAGAUGAUGACAAGGACCGCCACGAAGGAGAUCGACAUGGAGACAAGCACCAUAGUGGAGACCGCCAUGGAGAUGAUGACAAGGACCGCCACGAAGGAGGUCAGCAUGGAGACAAGCGCCAAGGUAGAGACCACCAUGGAGAUGAUGGCAAGGACUGCCAGAGGAAAAAAAGCCCUGACUGUGAUCAGGUUCGACACAGGCGGAGACGCAGUGAAGAACGUGGACACGGCCAUCGUCGUGGCAGCGGCAGCGGCAGCGGCAGUGGCAGCAGCAGCGGCAGUGGCAGUGGCAGCGGCAGCGGCAGUGAUGAUGGCCAUCCUGGAAAACAUCACAAACACGAGAAAAAGCAUGGCCGCAAGUAUAGCCAUGGCCAUGGCCACAAGCAUGGCCAUGGCCACGGGGGCGGGCGCGGGCACGGGCACGGACACUGAAACAGGGAGAGAGGCCGCCGACACACGGACCACCAGACGUCCUGUGAAGCUCUACCUGCAUUAUAUUUCUGCACGUAUAUGAAAUAAUACAAAGACAUACACUGAUGAUAGUCUGUUAUACAUGUGUGUAUGUUAUGUGGAGGUUAGAAGUGUGAGAAUGACGAAUUGUUUUCUGGCUUUUUUAAUACAUAAUAAAGGAGAAUUAAGGACAUUUGAAGU
rnacentral:lncRNA from 1 species